rnacentral:rRNA from 1 species
CAAUAGCGUAUAUUAAAGUUGUUGCAGUUAAAAAGCUCGUAGUUGGAUUUCUGGGCUGAGCGACCGGUCCGCCGCUGUGCGGUGUGUACUCGGGUGCGACUCGGCUCAUCCUUGCAGGGAACGGCACACGGUCUUAAUUGGUCGAGGUCGGGAAUUGCAUCGUUUACUGUGAAAAAUUAGAGUGUUCAAAGCAGGCGAUCGCUUGAAUACAUUAGCAUGGAAUAAUAGAAUAGGACUUUGGUUCUAUUUUGUUGGUUUCUAGGACCGAAGUAAUGAUUAAUAGGGACAGUUGGGGGCAUUAGUACUUAACUGUCAGAGGUGAAAUUCUCCGAUUUGUUAAAGACUAACUUAUGCGAAAGCAUUUGCCAAGGAUGUUUUCAUUAAUCAAGAACGAAAGUUAGGGGAUCAAAGAUGAUCAGAUACCAU